AGUCGCUCGGCCGUCGCCUCCCGCGCUCCUUGUUCCUUCCUUCCCUUUAGUGCAUAAGACGCUUCUGUUCCUCGAAAAGCUUUGUCCUGAAUGAUGUGAUCGUGUGGAGCCUCUUGCCUUGCAAAACAAAAAAGGAUGUAGGAUUACUCCUGCUUCUGCUGGUGUCUAUACCUGCUGCUUCUGAAUAUUUCUGCCAAAUCCUUUUCUGCUCACAAAAUGGAUUGACCUUGUGACCUCAAGGCAUAAUGAGUGAAACCAAGGCUUCCACACCCUCUCGCGCCCACUUCCACGCCCACGUCUGGCAGCAAACCCUUUCCAACGCCCAUUUUUAAUACUCUAAAAGACAACAUGGCUAGAGGCAGAGACUACAAGCUUGCUCGGAGUAGAGACAACGGAGGACCCACGAUGCUGGUGAGGAUGCUGGUGGUGCUGUGCGUGGUGAGCAGCAUGGCACUCGUCCUGCAACUGAACCUUGCUAAUCAACAGAGCUUCAUGCUGAGGAACAUCAAGGGAUUGUAAGUAAAUCGAUGUUAUUAUACAU
rnacentral:lncRNA from 1 species